rnacentral:rRNA from 1 species
UAUUUAUUAGAUAAAAAACCAAUGCCCUCCGGGGCUCCUUGGUGAAUCAUAAUAACUUGACGAAUCGCAUGGCCUUGUGCCGGCGAUGGUUCAUUCAAAUUUCUGCCCUAUCAACUUUCGAUGGUAGGAUAGUGGCCUACCAUGGUUUCAACGGGUAACGGGGAAUUAGGGUUCGACUCCGGAGAGGGAGCCUGAGAAACGGCUACCACAUCCAAGGAAGGCAGCAGGCGCGCAAAUUACCCAAUCCCGACACGGGGAGGUAGUGACAAUAAAUACUGAUACAGGGCUCUUUCGGGUCUUGUAAUUGGAAUGAGUACAAUUUAAAUCCCUUAACGAGGAACAAUUGGAGGGCAAGUCUGGUGCCAGCAGCCGCGGUAAUUCCAGCUCCAAUAGCGUAUAUUAAAGUUGUUGCAGUUAAAAAGCUCGUAGUUGAACCUUGGGCCUGGCUGGCCGGUCCGCCUCACCGCGUGUACUGGUCCGGCCGGGCCUUUCCUUCUGGGGAGCCGCAUGGCCUUCACUGGCCGUGUCGGGGAACCAGGACUUUUACUUUGAAAAAAUUAGAGUGUUCAAAGCAGG